rnacentral:rRNA from 1 species
CAUUCACGGAGAGUUUGAUCCUGGCUCAGGACGAACGCUGGCGGCGUGCUUAACACAUGCAAGUCGAACGAUGAACCACCUUCGGGUGGGGAUUAGUGGCGAACGGGUGAGUAACACGUGGGCAAUCUGCCCUGCACUCUGGGACAAGCCCUGGAAACGGGGUCUAAUACCGGAUACUGACCUGCCAAGGCAUCUUGGCGGGUCGAAAGCUCCGGCGGUGCAGGAUGAGCCCGCGGCCUAUCAGCUUGUUGGUGAGGUAAUGGCUCACCAAGGCGACGACGGGUAGCCGGCCUGAGAGGGCGACCGGC